UACAGAGGUCUCAAGCGUUUGUUCGGAUUCAUUGGGCGUAAAGGGUGCGUAGGUGGCGUCGUAAGUCGGGUGUGAAAUUUCGGAGCUUAACUCCGAAACUGCAUUCGAUACUGCGGUGCUUGAGGACUGGAGAGGAGACUGGAAUUUACGGUGUAGCAGUGAAAUGCGUAGAGAUCGUAAGGAAGACCAGUGGCGAAGGCGGGUCUCUGGGCAGUAACGUGACGCUGGAGGAGCGAAAGCGUGGGGAGCGAACAGG
rnacentral:rRNA from 1 species